rnacentral:rRNA from 1 species
GACGAACGCUGGCGGCGUGCUUAACACAUGCAAGUCGAACGGACAGGCCCUGCUUUUGUGGGGUGCUCGAGUGGCGAACGGGUGAGUAACACGUGAGUAAUCUGCCCUUGACUUUGUGAUAACUUCAGGAAACUGGGGCUAAUACCGGAUAGGAGCUCCUGCUGCAUGGUGUGGGUUGGAAAGUUUCGGCGGUUGGGGAUGGACUCGCGGCUUAUCAGCUUGUUGGUGGGGUAGUGGCUUACGAAGGCUUUGACGGGUAGCCGGCCUGGGAGGGUGACCGGCGACAAGGGGACUGAGAGAGGGCGCAGACUCCUACGGGAGGCAGAAGUGGGGAAUAUUGCACAAUGGGCGGAAGCGUGAUGCAGCAACGCCGGGAGCGGGAUGACGGCCUUCGGGGUGUAAACCGCUUUGGACUGUGACGAAGCGUGAGUGACGGUAAUGGGUAAAGAAGCAACGGCUAACUACGUG